AACUUUCAACAAUAAAUCUCUUGAUUCUGGCAUUGAUAAAGAAUGCAGUAAAAUAUGAUAAGUAAUGUAAAUUACAGAAUUCUGUAAAUUAUUGAAUCUUUAAACAUAUAUUGUGUUCUCUGAUAUUCUGAAGAGCAUAUCUGUUUAAGUAUCA
rnacentral:rRNA from 1 species